UUCUUGGAUAGAGGCGCGCUUUUAAAAAGUAUGGGUAUUCUAUCUUUGGGCUGUGGUUUCCCGAAUAUCCAAAAAGGUAAAAGCGCCGAAGGCAGAAAUACACCACUACGUUCUGACCUGGUUCAUUCGUUAACAGCGUCUGGACUGUCACCGGAGAGUCAUGCACAACUUCCGGUGGAGAGCUAUACAUGAG
rnacentral:ncRNA from 2 species